AUGCUCAGUGCAGAGCUGGCGGCUGUAACAAAAGCUGAGAGAGCUAAAGCAGCUCACAUGCUGCUAUCACAUCAGAGUGGAAUAGACCGCUGCGUGCACACUGCUGAUUCUGCUGACAUGCUCUGCCUUCUCGUCCCCAGCCUGAUGUUCUGCAUGAGAAAGAGCUGCCUGUGCUUGAGGUCUCAGCAGUCUGGCGUUGUGGAUGGUUUGUCUACCUCUAAUCCAAGCCAAAAGAGAUUCUGUUGGCUCAGAGCCUGUGAAUGAGAGCCUAAAGCAAGACGAGUAAAGGUGCAGACAGAGUUGAUUAAAAUGGGGGCUGUGAUC
rnacentral:lncRNA from 1 species